GAUGAACGCUAGCGGCAGGCUUAAUACAUGCAAGUCGAGGGGCAGCAUGGUGUAGCAAUACACUGAUGGCGACCGGCAAACGGGUGCGGAACACGUACGCAACCUUCCUUCAAGUGAGGGAAUAGCCCAGGGAAACUUAGGAUUAAUACCUCGUAAUAUUAUGGAGUGGCAUCACUUUAUAAUAUAGCUCAGGCGCUUGAAGAAUGGGCGUGCGACUGGAUUAGGUAGUUGGCGGAGUAACAGCCCACCAAGCCUGCGAUCAGUAACUAGGUGUGAGAGCACGACC
rnacentral:rRNA from 1 species